AACGUAGGAGACAAACGUUAUCCGGAGUUACUGGGCGUAAAGGGCGUGUAGGUGGUUUUGUAAGUCUGGCGUGAAAUUUUUCGGCUUAACCGGGAAAGGUCGUCGGAUACUGCAAGGCUAGAGGACGGUAGAGGCGUGUGGAAUUCCGGGUGUAGUGGUGAAAUGCGUAGAGAUCCGGAGGAACACCAGUGGCGAAGGCGACACGCUGGGCCGUACCUGACA
rnacentral:rRNA from 1 species